rnacentral:tRNA from 1 species
AAGGAUGUAGUUCAGUGGUUGAGAGCUUGCCUUCCAUGCAUAGACUCUGGGUUAAAGUCCCAGCACUGUUA